rnacentral:rRNA from 1 species
GCUUACCAUGCAGUCGAACGGGAUCCGGGCAGCUUGCUGCCUGGUGAGAGUGGCGAACGGGUGAGUAAUGCGUGACCAACCUGCCCCAUGCUUCGGAAUAGCUCCUGGAAACGGGUGGUAAUGCCGGAUGCUCCGCACCGUCGCAUGAUGGUGUGGGAAAGGGUUUACCGGCAUGGGAUGGGGUCGCGUCCUAUCAGCUUGUUGGCGGGGUGAUGGCCUGCCAAGGCUUCGACGGGUAGCCGGCCUGAGAGGGCGACCGGCCACAUUGGGACUGAGAUACGGCCCAGACUCCUACGGGAGGCAGCAGUGGGGAAUAUUGCACAAUGGGCGAAAGCCUGAUGCAGCGACGCCGCGUGCGGGAUGACGGCCUUCGGGUUGUAAACCGCUUUUGAUUGGGAGCAAGCGAGAGUGAGUGUACCUUUCGAAUAAGCACCGGCUAACUACGUGCCAGCAGCCGCGGUAAUACGUAGGGUGCAAGCGUUAUCCGGAUUUAUUGGGCGUAAAGAGCUCGUAGGCGGUUCGUCGCGUCUGGUGUGAAAGUCCAUCGCUUAACGGUGGAUCGGCGCCGGGUACGGGCGGACUGGAGUGCGGUAGGGGAGACUGGAAUUCCCGGUGUAACGGUGGAAUGUGUAGAUAUCGGGAAGAACACCGAUGGCGAAGGCAGGUCUCUGGGCCGUCACUGACGCUGAGGAGCGAAAGCGUGGGGAGCGAACAGGAUUAGAUACCCUGGUAGUCCACGCCGUAAACGGUGGAUGCUGGAUGUGGGGCCCGUUCCACGGGUUCCGUGUCGGAGCUAACGCGUUAAGCAUCCCGCCUGGGGAGUACGGCCGCAAGGCUAAAACUCAAAGAAAUUGACGGGGCCCGCACAAGCGGCGGAGCAUGCGGAUUAAUUCGAUGCAACGCGAAGAACCUUACCUGGGCUUGACAUGUGCCGGACGGCCGCGGAGACGCGGCUUCCCUUCGGGCCGGUUCACAGGUGGUGCAUGGUCGUCGUCAGCUCGUGUCGUGAG